rnacentral:rRNA from 1 species
CCCUUAGAUGUCCCGGGCCGCACGCGCGUUACACUGAUGCAUUCAACGAGCUUAUAACCUUGGCCGAGAGGCCUGGGCAAUCUUGUUAACGUGCAUCGUGAUAGGGAUAGAUUAUUGAAAUUAUUAAUCUUGAACGAGGAAUUCCUAGUAAACGCAGAUCAUCAAUCUGCAUUGAUUACGUCCCUGCCCUUUGUACACACCGCCCGUCGCACCUACCGAUUGGAUGGUCCGGUGAAGCCUCGGGAUUGUGGUUCUUGCCGCUUUAUUGUAGCGUGACCGCGAGAACUUGUCUAAACCUUAUCAUCUAGAGGAAGGUGAAGUCGUAACA